UACGUAGGGGGCAAGCGUUGUCCGGAUUUAUUGGGCGUAAAGAGCGUGUAGGCGGUUUGGUAGGUCCGCUGUGAAAACUCGAGGCUCAACCUCGAGACGCCGGUGGAAACCAUCAGACUAGAGUCCGGAAGAGGAGAGCGGAAUUCCUGGUGUAGCGGUGAAAUGCGCAGAUAUCGGGAGGAACACCGGUGGCGAAGGCGGUUCUCUGGGCCUUACCUGACGCUGAGGAGCGAAAGCGUGGGGAGCGAACAGG
rnacentral:rRNA from 1 species